rnacentral:snRNA from 1 species
GUUCUUGUCUGGCAGGGAUAGAGUCAUGAUCACUGGGGUGAUUUUUUCCAGGGCAAGGCUUAUCCAUUGAGCUCCCAGUGGGCUGAUGCCUGUGAUUUCCCCAAAUAUGAGAAACUCAACUUUAUCACAUGUGGCAACGGAGGACUACGUCUGUACUGUUCCU